GACGAACGCUGGCGGCGUGCUUAACACAUGCAAGUCGAGCGGUAAGGCCCUUUCGGGGGUACACGAGCGGCGAACGGGUGAGUAACACGUGGGUGACCUGCCCUCAGCUCUGGGAUAAGCCUGGGAAACCGGGUCUAAUACCGGAUAUGACUCCAUGACGCAUGUUGUGGGGUGGAAAGCCUUGUGCGGCUGAGGAUGGGCCCGCGGCCUAUCAGCUUGUUGGUGGGGGAUGGCCUACCAAGGCGACGACGGGUAGCCGGCCUGAGAGGGCGACCGGCCACACUGGGACUGAGACACGGCCCAGACUCCUACGGGAGGGCAGCAGUGGGGAAUCUUGCGCAAUGGGCGAAAGCCUGACGCAGCGACGCCGCGUGAGGGAUGACGGCCU
rnacentral:rRNA from 1 species